GGCGGCUGUCUAGUCUGUAACUGACGCUGAGGCUCGAAAGCAUGGGUAGCGAACAGGAUUAGAUACCUGGUAGUCCAUGCGUAAACGAUGAGUGCUAAGUGUUGGAGGGUUCCGCCUUUCAGUGCUGCAGCUAACGCAUUAAGCACUCCGCUGGGGAGUACGACCGCAAGGUUGAAACUCAAAGGAAUUGACGGGGGCCCGCACAAGCGGUGGAGCAUGUGGUUUAAUUCGAAGCUACGCGAAGAACCUUACCAGGUCUUGACAUCUUCUGCCAAUCUUAGAGAUAAGACGUUCCCUUCGGGGACAGAAUGACAGGUGGUGCAUGGUUGUCGUCAGCUCGUGUCGUGAGAUGUUGGGUUAAGUCCCGCAACGAGCGCAACCCUUAUUAUCAGUUGCCAGCAUUCAGUUGGGCACUCUGGUGAGACUGCCGGUGACAAACCGGAGGAAGGUGGGGAUGACGUCAAAUCAUCAUGCCCCUUAUGACCUGGGCUACACACGUGCUACAAUGGACGGUACAACGAGUCGCGAAGUCGUGAGGCUAAGCUAAUCUCUUAAAGCCGUUCUCAGUUCGGAUUGUAGGCUGCAACUCGCCUACAUGAAGUUGGAAUCGCUAGUAAUCGCGGAUCAGCAUGCCGCGGUGAAUACGUUCCCGGGCCUUGUACACACCGCCCGUCACACCAUGAGAGUUUGUAACACCCAAAGCCGGUGAGAUAACCUUCGGGAGUCAGCCGUCUAAGGUGGGACAGAUGAUUAGGGUGAAGUCGUAACAAGGUAACCA
rnacentral:rRNA from 1 species